rnacentral:misc_RNA from 1 species
AGAUUUUCUGGGUCUGGGUUCGAAAAGCGUUCCCGUUACUGUGAAAGAGGAGGUCACUGAUGGCUAUAAGGAUUCGGUUCCAAUGAGAGGUUCAGCAAUGCAGUGGUCUUUCUCAAACAAGGUUUCUGCCAUUCCUCAAUUUUUGUCCUUUCAGUCUGGUGUGGAAGAAAAGCCAAGAAAGACUAUUCAUGAUCACAUAUCAUCCUCUGGUUUUACUCCCAUUUCAACUGCUAACCAGAAGCCAUGUUCUAGCAUGAUUCAGAAAAAUAUGACUCUUGAUAAACAAGGUGCAAACCAUUAUGCAAUGACAACCUAUACUGUGAAACAUUUUGAUGCAUAUCCGGUCCAUUGCCCGCAGCAAAUAAGGAUAUUCCCCGUCUCCGACGUUCAAAAUCAAAGAAUUACUGCUUCUAUGAGCAGUCCAGUUUUGCAGUCCCAUUUUUCUUCCACUGGGCACAAUGUGGGUGGUCAUUCCAUGAACUCACAAUUUCUUGCAGGAGUUCCAAUCAUAAGCCCUGUAUCUGUUCAUUCCACUCCAUGUUCCAUUGUUGGCACGGCCGNAUCUUAGAAAUGGUUCAAAAUCUUCUGGGGCUCCUGCUCAAUUGACCAUUUUCUAUGCUGG